AUUUCCUCUAUUUUCAACUAAUAGUAGCUCUACUAAAAACGUAAUAAGGCAGAAAACAAUUUAAAUGAAUUGUGGUAUUUGCCAAAACUUUAUAGUUUUUUUAAAUUUUUUUCUUUUUUUUGGUUGUUCAAAACAUUACAAAGCUCUUUACAUAUCAUAUUUCAUACAUUAGAUUCAAGCGGGUUAUGAACUCCCAUUUUUUAUCCCAAAUACAGAUUGCAGAAUCACAUUGGUUACACAUCCACAUUUUUACAUAAUUCCAUAUUAAUAACUGUUGUAUUCUGCUACCUUUCCUAUCCUCUACUAUUAGUUACACAUGAAGUACAAUGACCUUAACAUAUCAUACAUUUGAAUCAGAUGGGAUAUAAUUUCUCAUUUUUCUGAGUGUACAGGUUGUAGAAUCCUAUUGGUCUGCAGUCACAUAUAUACACACAGUAAUAUAUUUAUAUAAAUUAAUGUAUUUUUCCUCACCUUAGUUGUCUGGUUGUUUUAAAAGUUUAAUUGGACACAACAAAAUAUAGCAUAACUAUCCUACCAUGAAACCAUAAAAGCAUAAUAAUAUUACAAAUAAGUUUGAAAGUUAGUAAAAGGGACUGCUACAUGAGACUGGUCAUACUUAGUUUUGACUUUUUAGUUAUGAAAUUAUUUGCUUUUCAACUAAAGCAAAAAUCUCUAUCUUUAUUAAUGACUUAGUGAUUUGUAGAGGUUUUAGAUUAAUAUUUCACAUCUCUAUCUAUGGUAAUUCAUUAUAGAGUCUCUGGUUAUGAUAUUCCUGUUCUGUCUAGUGUCAUAUUGGAGACUUCAUACUAUUUCUAUUAAUGCCUUAAACAUCAUUAACUAUCUUCCUUUUGUCUUUCAGGAUCUCUCAGCAAAGUAAAAUUCAGACCUCACUUGGUUAUAAAUAAUAGCAUUGUCAAGUAAACUUCUGAUAUAUUAAAUAAGGAGCACAAAUCUCAAAAAAUGAUAAAAGCAUUCUUCAUACUUUGUAAAGCUUAGCCAUUGAUGAAAAAUAGGAGCUGAAAUUUAACAACUUCAUUUAAACAAGGUUACUGAGAACCAGGAAUCACAUAUUUAGUUUAAUCCAGUUUUGUCAGUUGCAGAUUGUUUUUCCUUCAAAAUAGUUUUAUCAUCAUCUUUACCUACCUCUGUCAUCCUGACUUUACAAAGAACUUUAAUCAUGUUGCCACUGCUGAUUGUGGAAUGCAAUGCCCUAAAGUUUCCUCUUGGAAUAAAAAGUCUAUGCUUUCAAUAUGAUUUGCUGUUCCAGAUGGAGAACAUGAUUUCUGUAAAAGGAUAGUACAGUUUUAUAAAAAUAUUAUACCCAUAUAUAUUAUAUAAAUUAAGCAAGAAUACCCUAAGACUCCUAGCUGUUGCUGCUGCUGCUACUAUUACCAUUACUAGUGUAGAAAGGGUCUCUUGACCUUGUGUAUGCUGGGAAGGUUAGAGGGAGAAAACGAAAUUAUG
rnacentral:lncRNA from 1 species